UAAAACUGAUAGAACUUUUGUACGAUGUCGUUAAGUCUGUAAAUUAACAUUUCAAGACAAUCUAGAGUAUGUACUAAUAGCAAGGCAGAAAAUAAUUACAGACUAAGGAAGUGACAAAAUCUCAAAAAGAUCUCUAAGGCCUGCACUAUGAGUGCGGGAGUAUCAAUCUCCCCACAAUCAUUGCUCCCAUGGGCUUGUGCAUGUAAUUCAGAAACAACUUGCUUG
rnacentral:lncRNA from 1 species